rnacentral:rRNA from 1 species
UGAGGAAUAUUGGUCAAUGGGCGAGAGCCUGAACCAGCCAAGUCGCGUGAGGGAAUAAGGCCCUACGGGUCGUAAACCUCUUUGCCGGGGAGCAAGUCGGGGCUCGUGAGCCCUGAUGGAGAGUACCCGGAGAAAAAUGCAUCGGCUAACUCCGUGCCAGCAGCCGCGGUAAUACGGAGGAUGCGAGCGUUAUCCGGAUUUAUUGGGUUUAAAGGGUGCGUAGGCGGGCUGGCAAGUCGGCGGUCAAAUGUCGGGGCUCAACCCCGGCCUGCCGUCGAAACUGCCGGCCUUGAGUGAGCGAGAAGCAGGCGGAAUGCGUGGUGUAGCGGUGAAAUGCAUAGAUAUCACGCAGAACCCCGAUUGCGAAGGCAGCCUGCCGGCGCUCAACUGACGCUGAGGCACGAAAGUGCGGGGAUCGAACAGGAUUAGAUACC